AUUGAACGCUGGCGGCAUGCUUUACACAUGCAAGUCGAACGGUAACAGGCCGCAAGGUGCUGACGAGUGGCGAACGGGUGAGUAAUGCAUCGGAACGUGCCCAGUCGUGGGGGAUAACGCAGCGAAAGCUGCGCUAAUACCGCAUACGAUCUAUGGAUGAAAGCGGGGGACCAUAAGGCCUCGCGCGAUUGGAGCGGCCGAUGUCAGAUUAGGUAGUUGGUGGGGUAAAGACUCACCAAGCCAACGAUCAGUAGCUGGUCUGAGAGGACGACCAGCCACACUGGGACUGAGACACGGCCCAGACUCCUACGGGAGGCAGCAGUGGGGAAUUUUGGACAAUGGGCGCAAGCCUGAUCCAGCAAUGCCGCGUGCAGGAAGAAGGCCUUCGGGUUGUAAACUGCUUUUGUACGGAACGAAACGGUCUGGGUUAAUACCUCGGGCUAAUGACGGUACCGUAAGAAUAAGCACCGGCUAACUACGUGCCAGCCGCCGCAGUAACAC
rnacentral:rRNA from 1 species